CCACAGGCCUCUUCAAAGCAGCUCAGAGCCUGGGCUCAGAGGCUGGAUGCUGCCGCCUGGUUCCAGGCCCCGAAGGUCACGGGCCGGGAGGAGAAGCAGUGUGACCCCAGCGGCUCUCCUUUCUGAGGUCACACCUGCCCCCCAUACACCCCUUCACCUACACUCACACACUCCCCUGGCCCAGCCGUAUGCAGAGGGCCCACCUCCCACCACUGAGGCCUCCGCCAGUGCUGCCACCCUGCCCAGCUCUUGCGAGCCCCAUCUCUCCCUGCUGACCAGGAGGAGAGGGGAGAAGGGCUGAAAUCUGUGUGCCGCGGCCCUGGACUGCCCUCCGGGGAAGCAGCUCAGCCCUUCCAGGCUGAAGCGGGGGUUUCAAGGGAGGAACAUUCCCAAAGCCAGCCCAGGAGGCCUCAUGAGAGACCCUGGCGCCCCAGCACUGCGCUCUCUGCCUCUCCUGGAGCCUCCCCCGCAGCAGGCUAAGGCGGAUCCUGAGCAGCUUAUUCUGAAAAGGAUCACACUCAGGAAGCUGCGGUGGAGACGUAGCUUUGGGAAUCGAGCUGGAGCAGCAGCCAGGGACAGGCACCCAGAGAGGUCCUGGGCUCAUCUGGGGAAAGCUUGUAGCUCCGCCCCUGCCGUCCCCUGGGAAAAGCGGAAGAAGGAAACCAGCCCCAGAGGCCUGCCAGAGACGGCUCCUGAGCCCAGCUCUGUCCUAGAGGGAAUCCAGUAGCCCCUCCCACCAUCCAUGAGACCAGCACGGGGGGACUGCAGGAAUUACAGUCAACACAACUGUCACUGGCUGCCCAAGAAUUCUUGGGGCUGAGGGAGGGGACAAGGGAACAAACGAAAUCUUAGAGGAGAAGGACUCUCGGGUUGUGGGAAAGAAGAAAAGGGAAUUAGGGGCCAUGCUCCCCGCCCCUUCCCAGUGAUGGCAGCAGUGUGGUCAGGGCACUGAGAGGGUGUGGUGCCAGG
rnacentral:lncRNA from 1 species